rnacentral:rRNA from 1 species
GAACGCUGGCGGCGUGCCUAAUACAUGCAAGUCGAGCGGACUCCUUCGGGAGUCAGCGGCGGACGGGUGAGUAACACGUGGGUAACCUGCCUGUAAGACUGGGAUAACUUCGGGAAACCGAAGCUAAUACCGGAUAGGUUUUCGAGUCGCAUGACUUGAAAUGGAAAGAUGGCUUCGGCUGUCACUUACAGAUGGACCCGCGUCGCAUUAGCUAGUUGGUGAGGUAACGGCUCACCAAGGCGACGAUGCGUAGCCGACCUGAGAGGGUGAUCGGCCACACUGGGACUGAGACACGGCCCGGGCUCCUACGGGAGGCAGCAGUAGGGAAUCUUCGGCAAUGGGCGAAAGCCUGACCGAGCAACGCCGCGUGAGCGAUGAAGGCCUUCGGGUCGUAAAGCUCUGUUGUUAGGGAAGAACACGUACGAGAGUAACUGCUCGUACCUUGACGGUACCUAACCAGAAAGCCACGGCUAACUACGUGCCAGCAGCCGCGGUAAUACGUAGGUGGCGAGCGUUAUCCGGAAUUAUUGGGCGUAAAGCGCGCGCAGGCGGUUUCUUAAGUCUGAUGUGAAAGCCCACGGCUCAACCCGUGGAGGGUCAUUGGAAACUGGGGAAACUUGAGUGCAGAAGAGGAAAGCGGAAUUCCACGUGUAGCGGUGAAAUGCGUAGAGAUGUGGAGGAACACCAGUGGCGAAGGCGGCUUUUCUGGUCUGUAACUGACGCUGAGGCGCGAAAGCGUGGGGAGCAAAACAGGAUUAGAUACCCUGGUAGUCCACGCCGUAAACGAUGAGUGCUAAGUGUUAGAGGGUUUCCGCCCUUUAGUGCUGAAGUUAACGCAUUAAGCACUCCGCCUGGGGAGUACGGCCGCAAGGCUGAAACUCAAAGGAAUUGACGGGGGCCCGCACAAGCGGUGGAGCAUGUGGUUUAAUUCGAAGCAACGCGAAGAACCUUACCAGGUCUUGACAUCCUCUGACACUCCUAGAGAUAGGAUUUCCCCUUCGGGGGCAGAGUGACAGGUGGUGCAUGGUUGUCGUCAGCUCGUGUCGUGAGAUGUUGGGUUAAGUCCCGCAACGAGCGCAACCCUUGAUCUUAGUUGCCAGCAUUCAGUUGGGCACUCUAAGGUGACUGCCGGUGACAAACCGGAGGAAGGUGGGGAUGACGUCAAAUCAUCAUGCCCCUUAUGACCUGGGCUACACACGUGCUACAAUGGACGGUACAAAGGGUUGCAAGACCGCGAGGUGGAGCUAAUCCCAAAAAACCGUUCUCAGUUCGGAUUGCAGGCUGCAACUCGCCUGCAUGAAGCCGGAAUCGCUAGUAAUCGCGGAUCAGCAUGCCGCGGUGAAUACGUUCCCGG